GACGAACGCUGGCGGCGUGCCUAACACAUGCAAGUCGAACGGAGAUACUUUUGAAGCUUGCGAAGGAGUAUCUUAGUGGCGGACGGGUGAGUAACGCGUGGGUAAUCUGCCCAUAAGCGGGGAACAACAGUUGGAAACGACUGCUAAUACCGCAUAAACUGCCUAAGGGCAGGAAAGGUGGCCUCUGAAUAUGCUGCCGCUUAUGGAUGAGCCCGCGUCUGAUUAGCUGGUUGGUGGGGUAAAGGCCUACCAAGGCGACGAUCAGUAGCCGGCCUGAGAGGGUGAACGGCCACACUGGGACUGAGACACGGCCCAGACUCCUACGGGAGGCAGCAGUGGGGAAUAUUGCGCAAUGGGGGAAACCCUGACGCAGCGACGCCGCGUGAGCGAAGAAGGCCUUAGGGUUGUAAAGCUCUGUUUUAGGGGACGAAAGCUAUAGGGAGAAAUAUGCCCUGUAAAUGACGGUACCCUAAGAGGAAGCCCCGGCUAACUACGUGCCAGCCGCCGCAGUAAGAC
rnacentral:rRNA from 1 species